CCUACGGGAGGCAGCAGUGAGGAAUAUUGGUCAAUGGUCGGGAGACUGAACCAGCCAAGCCGCGUGAGGGAUGAAGGUCCAGAGUAUCGUAAACCUCUUUUGUCAGGGAACAAAGGCGGGGACGUGUCCCCGGCUGAGUGUACCUGACGAAAAAGCAUCGGCUAACUCCGUGCCAGCAGCCGCGGUAAUCCGGAGGAUGCGGGCGUUAUCCGGUUUUAUUGGGUUUAAAGGGUGUGCCGGCGGUCUGUUAAGUCAGCGGUCAAAGCCCGGGGCUCAACCCCGGCCCGCCGUUGAAACUGGCAGUCUCGAGUGGGAGAGAAGUAGGCGGAAUGCGCGGUGUAGCGGUGAAAUGCAUAGAUAUCGCGCAGAACUCCGAUUGCGAAGGCAGCAUGCCGGCUCCACACUGACGCUGAGGCACGAAAGCGUGGGUAUCGAACAGGAUUAGAUACCCUUGUAGUC
rnacentral:rRNA from 1 species